UGGGGAAUAUUGCACAAUGGGCGCAAGCCUGAUGCAGCCAUGCCGCGUGUGUGAAGAAGGCCUUCGGGUUGUAAAGCACUUUCAGCGGGGAGGAAGGCGAUAAGGUUAAUAACCUCAUCGAUUGACGUUACCCGCAGAAGAAGCACCGGCUAACUCCGUGCCAGCAGCCGCGGUAAUACGGAGGGUGCAAGCGUUAAUCGGAAUUACUGGGCGUAAAGCGCACGCAGGCGGUCUGUCAAGUCGGAUGUGAAAUCCCCGGGCUCAACCUGGGAACUGCAUUCGAAACUGGCAGGCUAGAGUCUUGUAGAGGGGGGUAGAAUUCUAGGUGUAGCGGUGAAAUGCGUAGAGAUCUGGAGGAAUACCGGUGGCGAAGGCGGCCCCCUGGACGAAGACUGACGCUCAGGUGCGAAAGCGUGGGGAGCAAACAGG
rnacentral:rRNA from 1 species